rnacentral:rRNA from 1 species
AGCGGGCAGAACUUGCAAGUAUUGAUGGAAACAUUCAGGCUUGGUGUUGGUGGGAGAUGGUGCAAGUAAAGUUGCUCUUUCGGGAGUUGGCUGAUUUGUGCUGUUUUAAGCUGCUGACAAUACGCCGCAUUUGUUUUCAUCAUCGGGUUGCAUGCGACUGAUUUGUGUAGUUUUUAGGUGCUGGGUUCCUGCAAAUCCUUGUGGUUUGAGUCCUGGUUACCGACUACUGAUGCGGUCGUUGAACAUAUGAGCAGGCGUUUAUCNCGGUCAAGAGUCUUUGCGAGUAUGGUGCUUGUGAUGUGUGGACGGGUAACCGUAGCACGUUGUCUGUACUUGCUGUCAGCAAGGGCCCUUUGGCACUGCUUU